AGGCGCCCCUCCUUUAAGCCUCUAAGUCACCCACUUCCAGCCAACACUAGGGAGCCCCGGGAGCAUCCAGAGGCCGAGCGAGGGGAGGUGGAGGUUGGGGGGCGUUUGGAGAGAGGAUGUUAGUCUUGAGCUACCGUGGUGAAAACUUGUCUUAAAAGCAGGGACUAGGCCUGCGUCUCCCACACGGAUUUCUAAAGGACUGAGGAGGAGAGCCGCGACGCGGGGAGGUUGGAGACUGCUUUGGACCAGCAACCUAGUGCGCACCGCCGAGUGGCGAGGCCCCGAGCGCAAAGACUGUGCGUCUUUAUCUCUGAACUCUAGGCGACCUCACUGCUUCCAGGCAAAGCACCUCUCUUUCUCGCUCGGCUUCUCCAGAUCUCCAGAGUCCCACGGACUCUUCAGGGGGGCCACUAAUCUCGGUAGUUCGGCUGUCUAGUUCCUGGCUACGGAGCACCCACUGGGAGGCCCCUGUCGGGUCCUCGGGAUCCUCGGCACCGCGCCGCCUACAGGCUCGCGGCUGUGGGCAGGAGUUUGCGUGUCUCUGCUCCCCAGCCACGUGGCGUCCGGUUCACUCUCCACCUGGAUCGCGGCCGUGGAGGUCCGGGCAGAAGGGGCCUGGUGAGCAUCCACGUCUCUCGUUUUUUUUGUUUUUUGUUUUUUGUUUUUGUUUUUUUUUUUUCACCCCCGAAGACCGUUUUGAGGCGUUUUGAGCUGAGGUCUUGAGUCCUCUCGAACUCCAUUUGUCCGUGUUCUAUGCUGGGGGUCUUCCUGCGACACUAGAGUGCGCAGGUCAAGACCCCCUGUGCAAUGGCCAUUUUAGGCCAGGAAAGGCGCAGCGAUUCUCCCAGGAGGCUCAAAGAGGAGCGGCUAAAAACUGUUGGGGAGGUCUGCUGUGCUUCCACUGUGGUUACAGUAAAGAACCGACUUCGUCUGGAGGACGCAUCCUGUACUUUAAUCAAAUUCUCAGUCAACAUAUUCUCAGUGAUUAAUGGCCCAACUGCUUCAUUUUCGGUCCAGAGCGCAUAAACAAGAUAUUUUUAGCUUGAUGCUUUUGAACAGAGAGAAUAAAAAGCAGAUACACUAAAUAAACAA